AAAUGAAUAGACGGGGGCCCGCACAAGCGGCGGAGCAUGUGGAUUAAUUCGAUGCAACGCGAAGAACCUUACCUGGGUUUGACAUGCACUGGAUCGCCCUAGAGAUAGGGUUUCCCUUGUGGCUGGUGCACAGGUGGUGCAUGGCUGUCGUCAGCUCGUGUCGUGAGAUGUUGGGUUAAGUCCCGCAACGAGCGCAACCCUUGCCCCAUGUUGCCAGCGGUUCGGCCGGGGACUCGUGGGGGACUGCCGGGGUCAACUCGGAGGAAGGUGGGGAUGACGUCAAGUCAUCAUGCCCCUUAUGCCCAGGGCUUCACACAUGCUACAAUGGCCGGUACAGAGGGUGGCGAGACCGUGAGGUGGAGCGAAUCCCAGAAAGCCGGUCUCAGUUCGGAUCGGGGUCUGCAACUCGACCCCGUGAAGUCGGAGUCGCUAGUAAUCGCAGAUCAGCAAUGCUGCGGUGAAUACGUUCCCGGGCCUUGUACACACCGCCCGU
rnacentral:rRNA from 1 species